rnacentral:snRNA from 1 species
AGCUUUGCGCAGUGGCAGUAUCAUAGCCAAUGAGGUUUAUCCGAGGCGCGAUUAUUGCUAAUUGAAAACUUAUUUGUAUCUUCUUCAAUUUCUUUCAGGAAGGUCUUGUGAUUGUCACUGUAUGAAUCUUUCACCUCCUUGGUUAAGU